UACGAAGGGUGCAAGCGUUACUCAGAAUUACUGGGCGUAAAGCGUGCGUAGGUGGUUUGUUAAGUCUGCUGUGAAAGCCCCGGGCUCAACCUGGGAAUGGCAGUGGAUACUGGCAAGCUAGAGUGCGGUAGAGGGGUGUGGAAUUCCCGGUGUAGCGGUGAAAUGCGUAGAGAUCGGGAGGAACACCAGUGGCGAAGGCGGCACCCUGGACCAGAACUGACACUGAGGCACGAAAGCGUGGGGAGCAAACAGG
rnacentral:rRNA from 1 species